UGGGAUAGCUCAGUCGGUAGAGCAUGAGACUCAUAAUCUCAGUAUUGUGGAUUUAAGCCCCACACUGGGCAAAA